rnacentral:piRNA from 1 species
UGGAAUGGCUCCAGAGGGUGUGUUUCUUGG